rnacentral:rRNA from 1 species
ACGGAAGGCAGCAGUGAGGAAUAUUGGUCAAUGGGCGAGAGCCUGAACCAGCCAAGUAGCGUGAAGGAUGACUGCCCUAUGGGUUGUAAACUUCUUUUAUACGGGAAUAAAAAAGUCCACGUGUGGAUUCUUGUAUGUACCGUAUGAAUAAGGAUCGGCUAAUUCCGUGCCAGCAGCCGCGGUAAUACGGUAGAUCCGAGCGUUAUCCGGAUUUAUUGGGUUUAAAGGGAGCGUAGGCGGGCCUUUAAGUCAGUGGUAAAAGCGUGUGGCUCAACCAUGCCACGCCAUUGAUACUGGAGGCCUUGAGUGCACAUAAGGAUGGUGGAAUUCGUCGUGUAGCGGUGAAAUGCUUAGAUAUGACGAAGAACUCCGAUUGCGAAGGCAGCUGUCCGGGGUGUAACUGACGCUGAUGCUCGAGAGUGCGGGUAGCAAACAGGAUUAGAUACCCUGGUA